ensembl:antisense Gm11586 predicted gene 11586
GCUCAGCCGACUGAACCCCUAACUGCUUCCACGAUUCACAGUUAGACAUGCUGAGACCUACGACGUGCUAUUGAACAGUCACCAUCUCCUGGCAAUGACACGACGACACCGGGAUCGGCUUACCUCCAUGACGGCGAAGGGCUUGUCCACCGAAUGGUAGCAGGUCUGGAAUUGUGUGAGCCAGUGGCGUGCUUCCCCCGGGCUGGCACCACACUGGUUCAGGAAGGCCUGGAUGUCCCGCUGCACCAGUGAUCUGCCGGCGGGAGGCGUAGGGGAUUCGAGGGGCGUUGGAAGCGGUGUCCACGACGGCUCCUCGACCGCAGGAGACUGGACACGACCCUUAGCGCCCUCGGCGUCCUCUGCGUGAGCCCUGGCGGUGCUGAGCCGGCGUCCCGGGCUGGCGCUCUUUGCCCCGCGCCGCCGCGCGCUGCCACUCAGUCUCCGUGAGCCCCCAGGACCUCCUGGGCUGCGCAACCUUCUGGCCGCUGCAGCAGACCGCAGGGCUGUGGCCACCCACGCCGUCGCCAUGACGACAACCAAACCCACUCGUCCCCCCCACCCACAGG